UGCCAAGGCUUGCAGAGGAUCC
rnacentral:piRNA from 1 species